AAGAUCAUAUCGUGUAACAGAUAUGCCUAUCAUUACGCGCGGAAUUCUAGAAGUAGAAUCGUAAAAGGCAGCAAGAGGCAGUUUCGUUCGUGGAGCCAGACGCGUAAAAGAAGAGAGAGAGAACAUUGGACCGACCCCUCUGCCCUGCUUUCUGCCUUUCAUGAGCGAACGAAGGGCGAUUUAUCGAACUGAAUAAAAUUGAUUAAUAAAGUUUCCCAUUCACAUACCUUAUUUCCUCUCUAGACAAAAAAAUACCGAAAAUUCGAAACAACCAUGACCAGACCCCGCCCGAAUGUAGCCUAUGAAUAGCCACGCCCAACUCCUCACUCGUUCCUUCCUGAGCGCGACCGAGCGCGACCGAGCGCGACCUCUCUCCCACUCCUCCCCACUAAAUGUUAUCUUGGCGGGAAGAAUGCCGUGGUCUCAUUUUACUGUGUCAGCGGCCAUACACCAUCGAGUCAAAGUGAAAGUGUUGUGGAAACAGGCGGAAGAAGGGAAAAUAACCGACAAAUGUUUUUGUUCAAGAGCAUUAUUUAAAGUGAUCAGAAAGUGAAAGAUAGGAAAAUUUCCAUUGUAAUGUUACCAAAAACAAAUAUUUAAAUGCUAUGUGAAGGUUCUGUAUAGCAUGACAGCGCAAUAAUAUUAAGUAAUUACAUGUGAACCGAAGUCCGACCUGCUUUUGCUGAAGAGAAACUUUCACGGCUUGGAAAAUGGACCAAGAAGAAGCGAAAACAGAGUUUUGCUCGAAUUGCCGUCGAGACAUCCCUGCUGCCAACUUUAUUAUGCAUGUGACUCAUUGCCAGAGGAAUCUGACAUUAUGUAAGGAGUGUGGAGAACCUGUUCCCACUUCGCAGCAGGAAGAGCAUUUUGAAGAAUACCAUGCAAAGG
rnacentral:lncRNA from 1 species